rnacentral:rRNA from 1 species
GACAGAGGCCCCAAGCGUUAGGCGGAAUCACUGGGCGUAAAGCGUGUGUAGGCGGACGCCUAAGUGUCUUGUGAAAUCCCACGGCUCACCCGUGGAACUGCUGGGCAUACUGGGCGUCUUGGGCCAACUAGGGGCAGCCGGAACAAGCGGUGGAGCGGUGAAAUGCGUAGAUAUCGCUUGGAACGCCGAAGGUGAAAACAGGCUGCUGGGGUUGUGCCGACGCUGAGACACGAAAGCCAGGGGAGCAAACGGG